rnacentral:rRNA from 1 species
GGGGGGAUCGUAUCGGAAUACUGGGCGUAAGCGCGCGCAGGCGGUCUGUUAGACGGAUGUGAAAUCCCCGGGCUCAACCUGGGAACUGCAUCCGAAACUGGCAGGCUUGAGUCUUGUAGAGGGGGGUAGAAUUCCAUGUGUAGCGGUGAAAUGCGUAGAGAUCUGGAGGAAUACCGGUGGCGAAGGCGGCCCCCUGGACUGAUACUGACGCUCAGGUGCGAAAGCGUGGGGAGCAAACAGGAUUAGAUACCCUGGUAGUCCACGCCGUAAACGAUGUCGACUUGGAGGUUGUGCCCUUGAGGCGUGGCUUCCGGAGCUAACGCGUUAAGUCGACCGCCUGGGGAGUACGGCCGCAAGGUUAAAACUCAAAUGAAUUGACGGGGGCCCGCACAAGCGGUGGAGCAUGUGGUUUAAUUCGAUGCAACGCGAAGAACCUUACCUGGUCUUGACAUCCACAGAACUUUCCAGAGAUGGAUUGGUGCCUUCGGGAACUGUGAGACAGGUGCUGCAUGGCUGUCGUCAGCUCGUGUUGUGAAUGUUGGGUUAAGUCCCGCAACGAGCGCACCCUUAUCCUUUGUUGCCAGCGGUUCGGGCGGGAACUCCUAGGAGACUGGCAGUGAUAAACUGGAAGAAAGUGGGGAUGACGUCCAGUCAUCCUGGGCCUUACGACCAGGGCUACACACGUGCUACAAUGGCUCAUACAAAGAGAACCUCACUCGCGAGAGCGAGCCGACCUCCUAAAGUGCGUCCUAAUCCGGAUUGGAGUCUGCGACUCCACUCCAUGAAAUCCGAAUCGCUAGGUAUCCUGGAUCACAAUGGCUCCGUGAAUACCGUUCCCGGGGCUUGUACACACCGCGCCUCACACCAAUGGGAGUGUGGUGCAA